UACGGAGGGUGCAAGCGUUGCUCGGAAUUAUUGGGCGUAAAGGGUAGGUAGGUGGUCUCAUUUGUCUGGGGUGAAAGCCUUGAGCUUAACUCAAGAAGUGCCCCAGAAACGGUGAGACUGGAGUCCUGGAGAGGGUCGUGGAAUUCCCGGUGUAGCGGUGAAAUGCGUAGAGAUCGGGAGGAACACCAGAGGCGAAAGCGGCGGCCUGGACAGGUACUGACACUCAACUACGAAAGCGUGGGGAGCAAACAGG
rnacentral:rRNA from 1 species